AGAGUUUGAUUAUGGCUCAGGAUGAACGCUAGCUACAGGCUUAACACAUGCAAGUCGAGGGGCAGCAUUGGAGUAGCAAUACUUCAGAUGGCGACCGGCGCACGGGUGAGUAACACGUAUCCAACCUGCCGCUUACUCGGGGAUAGCCUUUCGAAAGAAAGAUUAAUACCCGAUGGUAUAAAGAGUUCGCAUGUUCUCUUUAUUAAAGAAUUUCGGUAAGCGAUGGGGAUGCGUUCCAUUAGAUUGUUGGCGGGUAACGGCCCACCAAGUCUACGAUGGAUAGGGGUUCUGAGAGGAAGGUCCCCCACAUUGGAACUGAGACACGGUCCAAACUCCUACGGGAGGCAGCAGUGAGGAAUAUUGGUCAAUGGACGAGAGUCUGAACCAGCCAAAGUAGCGUGAAGGAUGACUGCCCUAUGGGUUGUAAACCUCUUUUAUAAGGGAAUAAAGUGAGGGACGUGUCCCUUUUUGUAUGUACCUUAUGAAUAAGGAUCGGCUAACUCCGUGCCAGCAGCCGC
rnacentral:rRNA from 1 species